CAAUAUCUUUCCUCUAAAAAGAGAAGAGAGAUACCAACUAAAAUUUAUAAGAAAAACUUAUAAAGAAAUAUAUAUGGGAGAGUGGAGGAAAAUAAAUCUUUGAAUUUUGCCAGGAGAUAAAUUUGAAAUGGAAAACAUCUGUUAAGAAUGACAUUGGAAGCUCAUCAAAUUUUUAUUUCUUAUCCCUGAAGUGUGCCUACUCUUUUUUUCUCUCUCUCUGGCCCUAGACAAGCUUUGGUUUUGUGAACUGUCUUUUCGACAUUAUCAAGGACUUUAUCUACCCUUCCGAGACUUCACCAUCCUUGGAUUUCAUUUCCAUGCUCACAAAGUAUUUCUGAGGGAGCCUGUGCCAGAGCCACCAGACCGACUGCCUGAAUUAUGCAGCUGCUGUCUUUUAUCUUGA
rnacentral:lncRNA from 1 species